ACCCCAUGUGUCUUAUAUCGUUUUACUCGCCUGAAUGUCAUCUGUAUCGUGGUGUGGUUUUUUUGAAGGAGAUGGUUUGCACCCUGUAUAUAUAUACGGAAUACGUCUGGCCACAAAAACAAUUUGCUAUGUCGUCAAUUUUACGACAUUGCUUACACCACCAGUUCGGACUGCUUCACUCUUUGUUAGUAUUGAGCAGUCUAUCAAUGUAUAAAACAUUCUUGUAAAAACCCAAUGCAGAAUGCAGACAUUCAAAUUUUACAGUUACGAAGAUUUUACUUUACAAAAGAAAAAAGAAAAGAUUCUACUUUACAAUGUAACUAAUAACUAUGAAACUAUCAAACAAGAACAUAGGUAAAUUUAAUUACUAAACACUGAAAAUUACAAUUGUAAGUCAAAAUAACAAACAACAAGCUUAUUUAGUUCAAAAACAAUACUAUUAAAUCAAC
rnacentral:lncRNA from 1 species